rnacentral:lncRNA from 1 species
AUGUGCGCCGGAGAAAGGAAAACAUUAAACGGAACAUUUUUUUUACAUUGUGCUUUUUCUAUUUGUUGUCGAAAUCUCCAAGAGACGGUUGUGGAGAUGAUUCACCCGUGCUGGGGAACGUGCCCCGGCUUCUCCCUCCUGCGUUCAUCACAAGCCCCUGUCGUCAGCACUCAGCGGAUGUGCUCAGCCUUGUCCGGGCCGGGCUGGCCAGCGGAGGGGGCAGGAGGGGGCAUGAAGAGAGGCGGGCCCUCCCUUGGCACCCAAAGCACCUGGCCAGCUUUACCACGCAGGAGAACAGGGAAGCCGACCUUUCAGGCCAGCAUGUUAACAAGCUUUGGAAAACGGACAGAGCUUACAGGAAGGCACAGCUGGGUUGCUCCUGAGCGGGGCCUUAAUUCAAACCAGAACCGGCCGCCGAGCGGGGCCUGGCUAGUGUUUACAGAUGGAGCAGGAAGAGGCUGCGCGGAGAUGAGGCGGUCACCCGCCGGUGCCUUCUCUAGCCCGGCCCCAGUUGGGAUUAAUUAAGAAAGGAAAUGCCACAAUGCCCCAAAUUACUUCUCUGGGAGAAACCUUUGCACCAGAUGAAGUCGAACAAAAAAAGUGGAAGAAGAAAAAAAAAAAAACCACGAAAGAAAACACCUCCCAGAAAUGUGUUUCAUGUGCAUUUAGGUCUUUGUCAGAAAGGGCAAGCAAGGAAAUAAGCUUCCGGUCCUGUGCGCUGGAGUCGUGUGACACUUUAUAGGAACCCAGGAAGGAGAGGGCACUGGGUACCAGUGAUGCUGUCCCACCGGAAAGCCGAGAAAAGACUGCUGUCCCACAAGACAUCCUCAGCCAUCAAAGGCACCCCGAGAGGCAAGUGUCACAGUGCGGAAAUUUUCCACCUACCACAAAUCCCACCCUCUGACACGCAAGGGGGCUGCAAAGGACAGCGUGGCCUCACUCCCUGCCUCGGCAGAUAGGUAAAAGAUAAGCCACAAGUGGCACACAGUCAUCCUAGUGCUCUGGGAGGCUGAGGCAGAAGGAUCACAGGUCGAAGCCCCAUGUGGACAAUUUAGUGGCUGAGAGAGACCCUGUCUCAAAAUCAUCAUCACCAUCAUCAUCAUACAGGUGCUGGGGACGUAACUCAGUGUGAAAGCCCUAGACUAUGUGCUCAGUACCACAAACAAGGAGAAGAGGAAGAGGAGGAGGAAGAAGGAGAAGAGGAGGAGGAAGAAGAGGAGGUAAAAGGCAGAGUGUAAGUGAGGCCCACAGCGUGCUUCCGAAAGAACUUCUCGGGGUUUGACAGCCAGUCUGCUCCACUCGGCUGUCUUUGGCUCCACUCAGCUUUCUCUUGGUCCCAGGAUCCCCUCUCCCAGGCAUCGGGUCACACAGGAGAAAGGUCCCCGGCCCUCCCAGCAGCCACCUGUCCACCCACCCCAGCACGGCUUCUGUCUCGCUGCUCCUCGUCCUCCAAGAGUGAAUCGUGUUCAGCGUACCCCACCACAUCAGAAAGGGCUCCAGGCAACCCGGUUGAUUUUUAUUUUGAAGGGAUUUCUGGUAAAAUAAAUAGGAAAAUGUAAACACUGAUGACGAACAUAUACUUUCCAUACGGAGCAGCCUUAGCCAACCAUAUGUUGUGUCUCACGAACCCAGGGACUUUUUGAUUGUUAGCAAGAUUCCACAUGCACCUGGUUAUGGGGCUGAAAUAUUCCACCGGAAAUAUAAACAGCGGCAGCAGAGAGUCAAGCUCAUUGGAACCAUCUUGUUGAGCUGCAACCUUGUUUUCAGGGGGGGACUUGGGACCAGAAAUAAUCACAUGACAUAUGUCAAAGGCCUCUGGCUAGCUGCUGCCCUAGUGGCAGCCUUGACUUGAAGCUUUGGGGACAAGUGGCUUGGGCACCUAGGGCUAACACCUCUCGACUGAGCUGGGACCUUUGUUUACUACCUGGGUGACAAGUGACCUUCCCUCUCUGGGUCCCUCAUGUGGUGAUGACAUAACCUACUUGGAAGGAUUCUUUUGAGGACAGGUGAGGACAUGUAUGGGAAUCCUUCCCAACUCAGCGCAGGAUAUGGCAGUCACCACAAGGCAAACCACUCAGGAGAGGAAUGGAGUCCACAGAUGCUGAUCAAAAUCAAACUUUUUAGGCUAGACAUGCUGGCGACACCUGUAAUCCCAGCACUCAGGAAGCUGAGGCAGGAGGAUCGAAAGUUUGAGGCUAGCCUGGGCUACAAAGUGAGCUGAGAACUGGUCUGCACUACAUAGUGAGACCCUGCUUCAAACAAAUAAACAACAAACAAACAAAAUCUAACUUUCUGGAAAUAAUACCAGCUCCAGGUGUUCAGAAACCUACAGGUGAUUAUAGUUUUCCCACAUUGUUGUCCCACGUUGUGAAUCAAGGGAAGUCAACACAAGACCUGCUUAGGCAAAAUGAUGUUGACCCAGAUGGUAAGACUUUGUUUGCCUCCUGCUGCCACUCAGGGAGCUACUUUUGCUCUGUGUAUGCACGUGUGUUGUGUGUGUGAUAUUUUUAUUGUAACUUUGCAUUGUGAGAGCCGGGCGUGGUGGCGCACGCCUGUAAUCCCAGCACUCAGGAGGCUGAGGCAGGAGGAUCGUUGCAAGUUAGAGAUCAGCCUGGGCUACAAAGUGAGCUCAAGGCCAGCCUGAACUGCAUAACGAGACUCUGUCUCAAAGGCAAACAAACAAACAAACAACCAAAAAACUUUGCAUUGUGAAAGUCUUGGGAAUGUAUAGUAGAAAAUUCAAAAUUGUAUAGAAGUACAAAAGAUUCCCCACGACAAGCUGUUUUAUGCCAAACCCUU